rnacentral:rRNA from 1 species
CCUACGGGAGGCUGCAGUGGGGAAUAUUGGACAAUGGGGGCAACCCUGAUCCAGCCAUGCCGCGUGUGUGAAGAAGGCCCUCGGGUUGUAAAGCACUUUCAGUGAGGAAGAACGCCUGGUGGUUAAUACCCAUCAGGAAAGACAUCACUCACAGAAGAAGCACCGGCUAACUCCGUGCCAGCAGCCGCGGUAAUACGGAGGGUGCGAGCGUUAAUCGGAAUUACUGGGCGUAAAGCGCGCGUAGGUGGCUUGAUAAGCCGGUUGUGAAAGCCCCGGGCUCAACCUGGGAACGGCAUCCGGAACUGUCAAGCUAGAGUGCAGGAGAGGAAGGUAGAAUUCCCGGUGUAGCAGUGAAAUGCGUAGAGAUCGGGAGGAAUACCAGUGGCGAAGGCGGCCUUCUGGACUGACACUGACACUGAGGUGCGAAAGCGUGGGUAGCAAACAGGAUUAGAUACCCUAGUAGUC